rnacentral:tRNA from 1 species
GGAUUGUGACUCAGUGGUAGAGCACUAGCCUAGCAUGUGUGAGGCACUGAGUUCAAUUCUCAGCACCA